UUGAACGCUGGCGGUAGGCCUAACACAUGCAAGUCGAACGGCAGCACAGGAGAGCUUGCUCUCUGGGUGGCGAGUGGCGGACGGGUGAGGAAUACAUCGGAAUCUACUUUUUCGUGGGGGAUAACGUAGGGAAACUUACGCUAAUACCGCAUACGACCUACGGGUGAAAGCAGGGGACCUUCGGGCCUUGCGCGAUUGAAUGAGCCGAUGUCGGAUUAGCUAGUUGGCGGGGUAAAGGCCCACCAAGGCGACGAUCCGUAGCUGGUCUGAGAGGAUGAUCAGCCACACUGGAACUGAGACACGGUCCAGACUCCUACGGGAGUCAGCAGUGGGGAAUAUUGGACAAUGGGCGCAAGCCUGAUCCAGCCAUACCACGUGGGUGAAGAAGGCCUUCGGGUUGUAAAGCCCUUUUGUUGGGAAAGAAAUCCAGCCGGCUAAUACCUGGUUGGGAUGACGGUACCCAAAGAAUAAGCACCGGCUAACUUCGUGCCAGCCGCCGCAGUAACAC
rnacentral:rRNA from 1 species